CCUACGGGUGGCAGCAGUGGGGAAUAUUGGGCAAUGGGCGCAAGCCUGACCCAGCAACGCCGCGUGAAGGAAGAAGGCUUUCGGGUUGUAAACUUCUUUUCUCAGGGACGAAACAAGUGACGGUACCUGAGGAAUAAGCCACGGCUAACUACGUGCAAGCAGCCGCGGUAAGACGUAGGUGGCAAGCGUUAUCCGGAUUUACUGGUUGUAAAGGGCGUGUAGGCGGGGACGCAAGUCAGAUGUGAAAACCACGGGCUCAACCGGUGGCCUGCAGUUGAAACUGUGUUUCUUGAGUACUGGAGAGGCAGACGGAAUUCCUAGUGGAGCGGUGAAAUGCGUAGAGAUUAGGAGGAACACCAGUGGCGAAGGCGGUCUGCUGGACAGCAACGGACGCUGAGGCGCGAAAGCGUGGGGAGCAAACAGGAUUAGAUACCCCAGUAGUC
rnacentral:rRNA from 1 species